GGCCCCGUAGCAGAAUCUGGCAUAUGCACUGCACUAAGGAUGCAGGGUUUGCGGGUUCGAAUCCCGCCGGGGCUACCA
rnacentral:tRNA from 1 species